rnacentral:rRNA from 1 species
GUCGGGAAUUUUGCUCAAUGGGCGAAAGCCUGAAGCAGCAACGCCGCGUGAGGGAUGAAGGCCUUCGGGUUGUAAACCUCUUUUACCAGGGACGAUGAUGACGGUACCUGAUGAAUAAGUCACGGCUAACUACGUGCCAGCAGCCGCGGUAAUACGUAGGUGACUAGCGUUGUCCGGAUUUACUGGGCGUAAAGAGCGCGCAGGCGGUCGUUCAAGUCGAGUGUGAAAGCCCCCGGCUCAACUGGGGAGGGUCACUCGAUACUGAUCGACUCGAAGGCAGGAGAGGGAAGCGGAAUUCCCGGUGUAGUGGUGAAAUGCGUAGAUAUCGGGAGGAACACCAGUGGCGAAGGCGGCUUCCUGGCCUGUUCUUGACGCUGAGGCGCGAAAGCUAGGGGAGCAAACGGGAUUAGAUACCCCGGUAGUCC